rnacentral:piRNA from 1 species
UGCAACUGCCUUCUGACUGGUCUCCUUGC